AAAUCAACAGUAUUUUUUUUACAGCUCCAACACCCUUAACUGUAUAUAAGUACAUGCAAGGAUACAAUAUGCAAUAUGAUUCCAAUCUUAUUAAAACAGUAAUGUCAAAUGCCAUGGGUCAUGUUGGGAGAGAGCAAUAUUUAAUAUUAACUGCAAAUUAAAGAAUUCUUGUAACAACUCUUUAAGGGGUCUUUGCCAGUUUGCCAACUUGUCUUACAUCUAUUACAAUCAGUGGCAAAUCUUCAGGUGAAGUUCAUGUAUUUUUAUUCCUAAUUUUAUGCAAUAUCUUAAAAUGUUUCAAAAUAAAACUUUUGAGAUAUCCAAUUAAUGUCAUCUGAGAUUUGGCAGUUUUGUUGCCAAUGACUGACCGUCUAAUGCGGAAUAUUGACAGUAGAUGUCAUCCAACCUAAAAGAGGUUGUACAUUUUAAGGUCUAGGCAUUCAGUGUUACCCUUGUCCAUCUGUACAUUCCAAAAUUAGUUUCCAUUCUCUAACUUUAGUUUGCCUCAACCAAAUGUUAUGAAGAUUAUAUACAAUGCUUAUUACCACAAAACACAGAUCAAAUUCGAAUUUAGGUGUUGUCACUUUUACCCUUCAUGCCCUUCUGGAGGUAUGUCACUUUAUAACGUUAUAUUCAGGCAGGGGCAUCAUCUGUCCCAUAGACACAUUCUCCAUUUAUCUAUACUUGUCAUGCUGCAUAGGAAUUGGUUUUUACAUUCAUUGUAUACUCACAAUUAAGGUAAUUAGGAUUAGCCAAACAUUGUAUACUCACAAUUAAGGUAAUUAGGAUAAGCCAAACAUUGUAUACUCACAGUUAAGGUAAUCAGGAUUAGCCAAACAUUGUAUACUCACAGUUAAGGUAAUUAGGAUUAGCCAAUCAUUGUAUACUCACAAUUAAGGUAAUUAGGAUUAGCCAAACAUUGUAUACUCACAAUUAAGGUAAUUAGGAUUAGCCAAACAUUGUAUACUCACAAUUAAGGUAAUUAGGAUUAGCCAAACAUUGUAUACUCACAAUUAAGGUAAUUAGGAUUAGCCAAACAUUGUAUACUCACAAUUAAGGUAAUUAGGAUUAGCCAAACAUUGUAUACUCACAAUUAAGGUAAUUAGGAUUAGCCAAACAUUGUAUACUCACAAUUAAGGUAAUUAGGAUUAGCCAAACAUUGUACAAAUUCUAACUCUGUCUGGAAUCUCACUCUUUCAUCUGCUUC